rnacentral:rRNA from 1 species
AGUGAACGCUGGCGGCGUGCUUAACACAUGCAAGUCGAACGAGAACGGGUUAUAGCUUGCUAUAAUUGUCAGCUAAGUGGCACACGGGUGAGUAAUGUAUAGGUAAUAUGCCUCUUACUAAGGGAUAACAAAUGGAAACGUUUGCUAAUACCUUAUACUCCUUAUUAACAGAAGUUAAUAAGGGAAAGAUUUAUUGGUAAGAGAUUAGCCUGUAUUGUAUCAGUUAGUUGGUGGGGUAAUGGCCUACCAAGAAUAUGACACAUAACUGGUUUGAGAGGAUGAUCAGUCACACUGGAACUGAGACACGGUCCAGACUCCUACGGGAGGCAGCAGUGGGGAAUAUUGCACAAUGGACGAAAGUCUGAUGCAGCAACGCCGCGUGGAGGAUGACACAUUUCGGUGCGUAAACUCCUUUUAUAUGAGAAGAUAAUGACGGUAUUAUAUGAAUAAGCACCGGCUAACUCCGUGCCAGCAGCCGCCGCCGUAA